AACGUAGGUGGCAAGCGUUAUCCGGAUUUACUGGGCGUAAAGCGUGCGCAGGCGGUUGUGCAAGACAGAUGUGAAAUCCCCGGGCUUAACCUGGGAAUUGCAUUUGUGACUGCACGGCUAGAGUGUGUCAGAGGGGGGUAGAAUUCCACGUGUAGCAGUGAAAUGCGUAGAUAUGUGGAGGAAUACCGAUGGCGAAGGCAGCCCCCUGGGAUAACACUGACGCUAAUGCACGAAAGCGUGGGGAGCAAACAGG
rnacentral:rRNA from 1 species